UACGUAGGGGGCAAGCGUUGUCCGGAUUUAUUGGGCGUAAAGAGCGUGUAGGCGGCCAUGCAGGUCAGCUGUGAAAACUCGAGGCUCAACCUCGAGACGUCGGUUGAAACCGUAUGGCUAGAGUCCGGAAGAGGAGAGUGGAAUUCCCGGUGUAGCGGUGAAAUGCGCAGAUAUCGGGAAGAACACCCGUGGCGAAGGCGGCUCUCUGGGACGGUACUGACGCUGAGGAGCGAAAGCGUGGGGAGCGAACAGG
rnacentral:rRNA from 1 species